rnacentral:lncRNA from 1 species
GUUGUGGGUUGGAGCGGAAAUUAAGCUCAGCCUGGUAUUAACCUUCCAGGGAGCGGUAUCAAUGGGCCACAAGGGCGUCCUGCCCCAGCCUUCCACACCCCCGCCCCCGUCUUUGCCGACUCAUGGCCGUGGGUUGGGAGAGGGGGCAGCAAUCUGAGAGGAUCUUCAAAAAUAAAGUCAGGGCGAGCUUCCCGGUUUGGAACAGUCGUUCUUUUCCACUUGCUCAUCCCCUCCCCGGCCACUGUCUUUCAAGUGAAAACCAUAUCCAUUUUCAAGAUCUCUUCAUAAAUGAUGAUUUAAGAGUAAAGGCUUCAGAAGAAUGGAGUCACGUGAUAAUGCUUUCAUUAAAAUACAGGCCACUGCCACUUCAAGGUUUUGCCUUUUUCUACCAGCUGCCAUCAUGUUUACCUUAAAUACAUAUAAAUUUAAGCUCCAACUUAAGCUUAUAGACCUUUAAAAGCAAAAAAGGAAGCACGUAGACCAAAUAUUUCUUUAUCUUGGAUACAGAAUCCUAUUGAAUCAAUUCUUAGACAGUCAGUGCUGGAAGAGAGGACAGAGAUGAUUGAAUUCAAUUUCCAUAAGGAGGCUGAUGUCUAGAGACGAGGCAUCAUCUGCCCAAGUUUAUCUACAAAUCUGGCUUUCAAACAAGAAAAUGACACGUUUAUUCAUUCCAUUUUUAUGGAAUGGACCGCCAGAAAUACGCCCCACAAAAGCAGCGACUAGCGCAGUAUCUGUGCUCUCGAUGUGUCUGCAACCUAGUCUAGGAGAGAGACACCUGGAGUCAGGCCAGGUGGGGAUGACGUGGUCACGUUCUCAGCAUACUUAGGAUGAUUCCUCACUGGGAGAAGGCAAGGGGUACUCUGAGAGAAGUACUGCUGAAGGCACAUUCCAAACGAGAGAGCAGCUGUGCAAAGGCCCAGCGGGCCCUAGAGCAGGGUACAUGGUUAAGGGGCUGAAAUGUGAGAAUGGAGGAGUGUGUGCAGAAUGCUAGGUGGAGAGGCCAACCACGUGACUGGAGAGGGAGGCAGGGGCCAUGGAAAGCCUGGAGGGCUGUGCUAAUGAAGGUGAUGGAGCCAGUGUAGCAGCUAACCAGAGAGAGGCCAGAGAGGAACGCUGGUUUUAGAAAGGCAAUUCUGGAAGCUCACAGAAGAAGGAUUACAUGCAGGCAAGAAAGCAUUUCAGAGGCAUUGCAAUAAUCCAGGCCAGGAAUGAGGAUCUGAGACAGGGUGUUUUCAGUAGAAGGCAGAGAGAAGAGAUAGCAGAUGGGGGGUUCAGAGAAGAGAGAUGUCAGGAAGAACCCAGGUUUCUGGCUUGGGCUGUUGGGUAACUGACAGCUCACUAAGCAAGGAAUUGCUGAGAAGGUUAAGACUUGAAAGGGGAAAUGAAUUCUGCUUAGGCGAGGGGUUGAUAUUCUAUUGGGUUUGAAGUGGCUGUAGGACAUCCAGACGGAGGUGUCAAGAAUCGAUUGUUUAAAGGGACCUGAAACUCAGGAGAGAGAGAUGCCCUAAAGAUAUUGGGAGUCACUCAUACACAAAUAAGAUAUGGGAGGGGGCGAGAUAAGGCAGAAAAAUGUGAAAUGAGAAGAGAAGAAUGUCAAGGAUGGAACACUAACAUUUAAGGAAGGGAGAAAGGAGGGAAAUGAAAGAGUGGUAAAAAUGGAGGUUAAAGAGACCAGAGGUUUUGGUAUCAAAGAACAACAACUGUGAGAACAGAAGCGUAAGAUCUAGAUGGUUAGUGGUGUGAUCAGAAGGGAGGAUAAAUGAGUUUAAGCCAAGGUACCAAGGAAUGGUGAGAGGAGCUUUAGCUCUAUCAUCUCCAUCACCCCCUUCCAAAAUCAACAAUCAACAGAAGUAAAAGUUAAUACUUUUUGUAAAGUAUACAAACUAUACUUUUGGUGAAAAAAAAAUCUAUAUUUGCAUUUGCUAUGACAAAUCCCUCAGCUACACCUUCCACCCAGAUGACUGCCCCCAAGCCUCCCCUGCAUGUAAAAUGUGGUCCUCCUCCCGAGCUGAGAGUUUCAGUGGGAGCUGGGGAUGAGGCCACGGUGCAACCUCAGCAAGGGGUUCUUGAAGUGAAAUGGGGCAGAGGUUCCCGGAGAGGAAGGAGUCAAGAGCCCGUGGGCCCAGGGAUUCGAUGGCCACUGUUUGGGCAUAGAAGAUUCCAGAGCCAUGGGAGGCACAGGGGGAAGAGGGAAGACCAGGAGCCUAAGGUUCAAGGAAAUGGGAGGAGGGCCUGAGAAUUCAGGAGAUGGCAGAGACCAAAGAAAUGCUUUCUGUGCCAUUCUGGUGAGGAAGAGGAGGCAAAGAAAUCGAGAGAGAAGAAGAGGGAAGGAGAAGAAGGAGAGAGCAAAGCGAGGAGGGAAAAGAGAAGGGAACAAUAAAAGAGAUGACAAGGACAUCAAUCCUAAAACCGGCUGAGCAGCUCCCAGGGCCCUGAGAGCUCUGCCUCCAAGUUUCAAGCUUGAGUUCUCCUCCCAGGGCAACUGAAGAUCCCAGGGAGCGGCUGCCCAGCUCCCGGCAAGGAGUUCGCUCCUGUGACCCACAAGCCAAGGGGCUCCAGACCUCAGGCUGUGGAUGACUCCGUGGUUGCUCCUCCAGGGGCCUGAUUGGUGGGGAGAAGACCCUCCAGAACUUGAACCAUAGUAGGUCUCUGAACUUCCUGCUGUCUCCGCUAAGUCCUCCCCUCCAGGCCUGUACUCUGCAGCCUUCCUUCGUCUCAGAUUCGCUCAUAAGAGGGAAACGGGUCCUGUCUCCACACGUAGAUCAUGUAAGCACCUCAUCCCCAUCAUCAUACCCAGAACAGAGCAGGCCGUGGAGCUGAUGCCCAAUG